rnacentral:rRNA from 1 species
GAGUUUGAUCAUGGCUCAGAUUGAACGCUGGCGGCAGGCCUAACACAUGCAAGUCGAGCGGAUGACGGGAGCUUGCUCCUUGAUUCAGCGGCGGACGGGUGAGUAAUGCCUAGGAAUCUGCCUGGUAGUGGGGGACAACGUUUCGAAAGGAACGCUAAUACCGCAUACGUCCUACGGGAGAAAGCAGGGGACCUUCGGGCCUUGCGCUAUCAGAUGAGCCUAGGUCGGAUUAGCUAGUUGGUGGGGUAAUGGCUCACCAAGGCGACGAUCCGUAACUGGUCUGAGAGGAUGGAUCAGUCACACUGGAACUGAGACACGGUCCAGACUCCUACGGGAGGCAGCAGUGGGGAAUAUUGGACAAUGGGCGAAAGCCUGAUCCAGCCAUGCCGCGUGUGUGAAGAAGGUCUU